rnacentral:lncRNA from 1 species
UGGUGAAUUUUGACUGCUCUGCCAUGUGGUAAGUUUCUCUGUUGUUCACACACUGGUCACCUGUGGUGUGGCUCUGGUCUCUGUAGUGCCAGAGAGGGAGGCCUACCUGCCAGAGCACAGCCAGGGCCCGCGUGAGACCGGAGGGAAGGCACUAAUGAUCUCUCAGGCCGCCGUUUGCCUCCAUUUCAGAGCCGCUGCUGGAAUUCUUGCUCCAUCUCCCUCAGCCUGUAAACUUUUAUCUCGAGUGUAUUGUUGCGAGAGAUUAGCUUGAGGGACGAGCAGGUGGGGACAGGCGACCUGGCAUUUGACUUAUCUCUCCUGAGCAGACGACAAAUCCUGGGAAAUUUCAGUUCUUACAUUUAAUUCUGUUGCUUCUGUGUACUUAUUCUUAGAUUUAUCAUCAGUCUCUUGGUCUAACUCUGGCUUAAACACUCUAAACACCUACUGAGAGUAAAGCUCCAUGCCUUUAAAAUUCUCCGAAAAUUCUUAGAAACAGUGCGGUCAUCACUUUGGCCGUACCACGUAAGAAAAAUAGGUUUUAAAAUCAAGUGCUAGUGUGCCACAUAAUGACACCUUAAUACAUAACGUCUGGGACGGAUGCAGGGACAAACGAAACUUGUUUCUUAAAUAAAAAAAAAAAA